rnacentral:snoRNA from 1 species
AUUAAAAAAAAAAAAAAGACCAUGAAUGUGUCCCCAGACCUACUUCUUUCCCUAGUCUGAUUUUUUAAUGCUGGUGAUAAAC